GGCUUGCUUGCACUUUAAUCCACUUCGCAGCACUUUCUUCAUCCUUUUUAAUGCUUUUCCCACUAAAUACAAUUAACCUGCUGCAAGUUUCCACCACAUUUAUUCCACAGAACAACACAUGGGAAUCUCCAGUAAAACAGGCAUCUGUGAAGCCCCCUCAGCCAUUUUGUGUGCUAGCCUGAAACAAUUGGCCAACUGCCAUCAACUCAAUGUUAAAUGUGCUUUGAUUGGACUAAAAAAUUCCCGCCAUUUUUCCGUUUUUUCUCUAAUUUAAUAAAAAUGUGCAAGUCUUCUUCACAUCGAGUUUCAGGGGUGAUUUAUAUAAAUAUUUUUACACAACAUGUGAAAAUUUCAUGUAGUUUGGUGACUUGGGUCACGAAAUUGCAGAAUAAAGCUCCUCGGCCCACAGCCUAAUAGGGCAGCGCGGUGACACGAGAAGUACUUCUGUCGCCUAGUUCCGGUGACCGGGUUCGAUCCUGACCUCGGGUGGUGCCCGUGUGGCUCACGCCUUCUCCCUGUGACCGCUUCGGAUUCCCAACACACUUUGCUUCAAUGGCCAAUCGGUGACCAUUAUAAUCCCUGGGAAAGUGGGUGGUGGACAGAUAAAUGGGAAUUAAUGGUCAUGUUAAAAGGAAUAGGCAGCAGGGAAUUGUAUUGAUGAGUUUCACGUUACCCUCACGAGAUUUCAGAAGCAUUUAGACAAAAUGUCUAAAUGUCUAAAUGCUUCUGAAGUCUGAAGAACGGUCUAGACCCAAAACGUUGCCUAUUCCUUCUCUCAAUAGAUGCUGCCUCAUCUGCUGAGUUCAUGCAGCAUUUUUGUCUACCUUAGACAAAUUAUUGAAUCAGUGACAUUAUAUAUUGAUCUUCACCUUUUAUUUCACAGGAACAGUCACACAACCUUCAGUCCAAGAUCACAGCAGAUAUCUGGGAGGAAGAGAAGAAGAUUCUAAAUACAAUGGAGAAAAAUCUUGGAAAGAUUCAUGAGAAUUUAAAUUUCAUUCAGGAGGAACUCCUAAAGUUGCAGCAACAGAUGGAUCAAAAAGACAGUGUGGUGUUUCUGAAGGUGAGGGGUUACACUACAGUUUGGUGAAGUGAAAGUGCAGUCACAAAAUGGUGGGUGACAUUUCAGAAAUAAAUGCGCAUUUACCAGUAAUUCGGAACUGAGUAAAUACCAUAUAACCAUAUAACCAUAUAACAAUUACAGCACGGAAACAUGCCAUCUCGGCCCUACAAGUCCGUGCCGAACAAAUUUUUUUCCCCUUAGUCCCACCUGCCUGCACUCAUACCAUCACUCUCCAUUCCCUUCUCAUCCAUAUGCCUAUCCAAUUUAUUUUUAAAUGAUACCAAUGAACCUGCCUCCACCACUUCCACUGGAAGCUCAUUCCACACCGCUACCACUCUCUGAGUAAAGAAGUUCCCCCUCAUAUUACCCCUAAACUUCUGUCCCUUAAUUCUAGGUCAUGUCCUCUUGUUUGAAUCUUCCCUAUUCUCAAAGGGAAAAGCUUGUCCACAUCAACUCUGUCUAUCCCUCUCAUCAUUUUAAAGACCUCUAUCAGGUCCCCCCUUAACCUUCUGCGCUCCAGAGAAUAAAGACCUAACUUAUUCAACCUAUCUCUUUAACUUAGUUGUUGAAACCCAAGCAACAUUCUAGUAAAUCUCCUCUGUACUCUCUCUAUUUUGUUGACAUCCUUCCUAUAAUUGGGCGACCAAAAUUGUACACCAUACUCCAGAUUUGGUCUCACCAAUGCCUUGUACAAUUUUAACAUUACAUCCCAGCUUCUAUACUCCAUGCUCUGAUUUAUAAAGGCUAGCAUACCAAAAGCUUUCUUUACCACCCUAUCUAUAUGAGAUUCCACCUUCAAGGAGCUAUGCACGGUUAUACCCAGAUCCCUCUGUUCAACUGCAUUCUUCAAUUCCCUACCAUUCACCAUGUACGUCCUAUUUUGAUUUGUUCUGCCAAGGUGUAGCACCUCACAUUUAUCAGCAUUAAACUCCAUCUGCCAUCGUUCAGCCCAUUUUUCCAAAUGGACUAAAUCACUCUAUAGACUUUGGAAAUCCUCUUCAUUAUCCACAACACCCCAUAUCUUGGUAUCAUCUGCAUACUUACUAAUCCAAUUUACCACACCUUCAUCCAGAUCAUUGAUGUACAUGACAAACAACAAAGGACCCAACACAGAUCCCUGAGGCACCCCACUAGUCACCUGCCUCCAACCCGAUAAACAGCCAUCCACGAAUGUUCCCUCUGUUCCAGCUGUUGUUGUUCAGAAACUAAUUGGCCUCCCGCUGAAUCUAUGGGAUCUCAGGACUGUCUGGCCGUAAUGUAGAGAGGUGCUUAUAUUAUGUGGAGUUUAGAACAAUGACAGGUGAUCCUAUAUCUGAUCCCAAGGACCACGAAUGGGCAGAGGGCAGUGAAUAUCUGAGAUUCUCCAAGAGACUGUGAGACGUUUUACAUGUUAGACAUAUAUUAAACCAGAGGAGAAUACACUUUAAAAAAAUCAGGGAAUUGUAAUAGAAUGGAAUGAGGCAAAGAGGAGGAGUUCAUUCCUGGGCUCGAUCAGCCAUGGCCACAUUAACAUUGAAAUUAAGAACGUGGCGCACACAUCAGAUCGAUCAUCUACAUCUGAAUGACAUCCCAUUCUACAUCAUAGACAGGCCAUUUGGCCCAUCCUAUCCAGUCAAGUUUUCUGCUCCAUUCAUCAUCCCUCCCAUCUACUCUGCACACCCGGUAACAAUACCCCAAAUUCCAGCCCUAAUGUGUUUAUCCCGCUUGCACUUAAAUUUAGCUGUGCUGUUGGCUUCAGUCUGUCCAAUGCAAAUGAGGUCCAUGUUCUCAUGACUGCAUUCCUUUCGAUAUUUAUUGAAAACAAUGUUACAUGUCAACUUUGAUUAUUGGUCUCCCCUUCAAUUUGAGAUAUUAUUUCAUCCCCACCCAUUUAAAUCCAUCGAUAAUCUUAAAUUCUGUCUCAUCCUUCCUGACAUCUUCUCCAGAUGAAAUCCCACGACCUGCCCAGUCUUUUCAUUAAGUUCCAUCCUCUCAGUUAUGGCGUCAUUCUCAUGAAUAUUCCUUGUGCUUUCCCCCACCGCUCUACAUCUCUGCGCAAUAUCCGCUUUCUGUCUGCAUGACAGUGGUGAUUAGAGUUAGUAAAUGGGAAAUAGCAGAGGGUUGUAGAAAUUUGGUGAAAUUCCCGCUGUCGGGAUGAGGACGGUUCAUCUCAGUCAAUUGAGAUUUGUGUUUUAUUUCUUUCAUGGGGAAGCUGGUCGUAAGCGAAGGGUUCGUGAUGAAGCCAAACCACUGUCGGUGGUAGAUGAAGCCUUGCUGAUUGAAAAGUUUCAUUGCCCUGUUUCGUACAACACGGCAUUCAAAGAACUAUCUGAUGACUUCAAGUCCUACCCUUCAUUACAGUUUGGGGAAGGGAAAGUGUGCAGUCACAAAAUGGAGAAAACUGGGCGCAAGCGAAGGUAGGACAUUGUCAUGACGGUAACAUUGUAAGUUGUGCAGGCAGGUGGGACUAAGGGAAAAAAGUUGUUCGGCACGGACUUGUAAGGCCGAGAUGGCCUCUUUCCGUGCUGUAAUUGUUAUAUGGUUAUAUGGUUAUAAGUUUUGGUGGAGCAUCUCUAAACAUUUCUAAUGCUCAGUUUAUAACCAGUUGUUAAAUAUUUCCAGGGUUCGUAAUAAAGCCAAACCACUGUCGGUGAUAGAUGACGCCUUGCCGAAUGAAAAGUUCCAUUGUGCUGUUUCGUUCAACACAACACUGAAAGAAAUAUCUGAUGACUUCAAGCAAGGUAAAGCUUACACUCUUCCAUUAUUCCUGUUUCUGAUAUCUUUAAGCC